ensembl:lncRNA
AACUCAUUAUUUCUAGGAGCUUUUUUUGCAGAUUUUUUGAGGUUUUCUACACAGCAAAUCACGUCAUCUGUGAAGAGAGAGUUUAAUUUCUUUUCCAGUCUUCUCCUGAAGUGCCCUCUGUCCACAGAGUGCACCUGCUGAGGAGUCACUGAGGACCAGCUGAGUGACACAGGCAGUUACACACAAGCAUGGAGCCAAGAUACCUGACAGUGGCGUGGACUUCCUGGAAGAAGUGAAUGUGAAUAGAACUGAAAGUAGAGGAGAAAGGGCAUUCUCAUGCAGGUCCUGUAACCUUGGCUGCUCUGAGAUGCUAUCAUUGAUCCUUUUUGUCUGGUAAAAUUGCUACAACCUUGGGAAAAUAUCUAAAUAAGUUUAAGAAUAACCUUAGGAUGAUAUCAUGUGAGUAUAACUAUAGGGGUAGAAGAUAUCUGAGGAGUGGGAGAAGGAGUUGAACAGAGAAACACUCGCCAGUCCAUGAUGCAAACUCAUCCUAGUUUGAAGACCAUGGAGUAGCAGAGGAGCUAAGCCGUCUUCUCGGGUGUUCGUGUUUUGUGUGUUCUCAGCAACUCAGGCGGAGACAUGGAGGACACGUGUUUGGGUUUGUUCAGUGUUGGGGGUUUGAAAGAGAGAUGAGGAAAAACACUGAGGAAAGAAUGAGGAAAGAAUGUUUUAUAGACAGUGUUAUUUAAAUGAUGAAUUCUGGAUCUCAAAGAUAAGAAGGGAGGAGUGAGUGAAGGUACUUGUGAGGCUGAAGUGGGACUAAUUUAAUAAGCUAGAUGAGAAAAAACAGUUUUGUUUAGAGAAGGGGAUGAUUGACUUAGGGAUUUUGGAAUGUGGAGCAGUCUACCGUAUAACCAAGUUCAGGAAUAAACUGGAGUGGAUUAGAGAGGGUCAUUUGGAGAUGAAGAGGCUAAGGAAGUGAACCAACAUGUUCAAUAAAUCUUCCUUGUGGAAUCUGAAGUGAUGCUAGAUUUGAUGUUGGAAUUUUGACAGUUUAGGUUGGCUAUAAACAGAGUGGGAUGGAAUAUUUAAUGACUGAAAAUUCAUGAGACAGAUUAUUUAAUGAUUGAAGAGGAAUAAAUUGGUGGCCAAUAGAUAACGGUAUUUAGAGAACAGUAUAAUCAAAGGACAGAAAUGUCAAAGGAGACAUUUCAAUUUUAACAGGAGGUGCAAUAAGAAGCCACAGGGAGCCAGAAAGAUAGCACUUAUACUUCCUUUAUCUAGAAUUAAAACAAACGUGAGACAACAAUCAUUUACCACUUAAAAGGGCCUCAGGGGAGAUGAUAUGCAAACCAAGGCAAGAAACAACCUAUGGAAGGCAUCACAAUAGCUAUAGGAACAUUAGGCUCCAUCAAUAUGGAACCAGGUUUUCCAGAAUUUUCCACGUUUUCUCUACUAGACGAUGAACUCCUUGAACGAUGAUGUCUGUAACGUAGAAAAUGCUUAAUAAGGGCUCGCCAAAUUGAAGUGGACUUCACAUACCUGCUCUUGCCAUAAGCACGCCGGUUUCAAGAAAAGAAGAAUUAUAAGUCAAUCACUUUCUACUUCAGGAGAGAAAGAAGGCUGGAGGCAAUGGCAAGCUCCUUAUGAUUCCUGGGACUUGCUGCUUUCUUUACAUGGCAGUUGCUUUUUCUCCUGACGCUGCAUGAGGCUCCAGGAAUAAAGGCGCUCAGAAGAGAAGGUGGAUUUGUACAAGGCCUUCAUGACAGGAGGGAGCCAGUUAGGAUGAGAGCAGAAUCGCCCUCCUCAGCUGUGCCCACAGAGCCCUUGGCUGAGGCCGGGCUCAGGGCUGCCUGCUUUCACCGCUCCCACCGCUUCUUUACCUCCCACAUCCUAUUUGUUUUUAUCAAGCCUUCUUUUCGGAUAUUCAGAGACAAACUCAAUCAAAACCUUGUCUGGAGAUUUGCAGAGAUCCUCAGGUUUGGACUUGCCUCAGGCAAGGAUGUGACGGGCUGACAGCGGGGAAUAGCCUGUGGAUCUCUGAACUGUGCUGCUUCCACCUGCCCGAGCCAUUAAGCAGAUGACCCUAGCGUCUGGGAAGCAUAAACAUUACCUGUGAGCAAUAAAACCAAGGGGAGAAUAAGCUAUAAAGUAAUGCAUUUUCACAGCAACAGCUCCUAGGGGGAGGAAAGGGCUCCAAGAAAAGCAGCAGACUAUUUUUCAUAGCGUGGCUUUCUCUCCGCUGCUCCUGUCUUCACCCACCCUCGCUCAGGCAGAACACCACACUGGAGGUGAAGAAGAACAGCAGGGUGAAGAGAAGUUACGCCAAUCCAAAAUCAGAAAAUUUGCCUCUGUCUAGAAAUAAAGAAAAAUAGAAGAUCACCAACACCUUUCCCAUUACGCUCCUCCAUGAACACAAUCCCAUUCCUCUGCUCUCCUGGAUUCAGUGAUAAUCACUUCCUGCUUCUCUUUUACAAUCUUAUUCCAUGUUGUUGGAAGAGGUCAUGGAGAGGAGGUGGACCCGGAUGACGCUGGAGCUGGACCCAGUGAUCAGAGCCUCAUCACCCCCGCCCCUGUCCUUGGAGCGUACGUUCUGCCCACUGUUCUCCCAGCCGGAGCCAUUUUCAAGGACGCAGCCUUGGGAGAGUGAGGUGGUGUUGGGACCAUUUGGACUGAAUACAUGACUGAACCCAGGUUAGGCCGCUACAUAAACUUUGAAGAUUCUGGCAGGUGGGUGCAGAGAUCUACUCAUCUUGCAGCUGCCCUAGACAAGCCUCAUAGAUAAUCUCAAUUAUCUAAGAGGACGGCGGAGACAAAUAUGAGGAAAAUUGGCCUCUGAAGGUCAUCUCAGCCAGAAAAUAAUUUGGCUUGCUUAAUAGUUUACCAUGUAUAGGGCAUUCAUUUGUUUAUGUUUUGUAUUGAAUCAGAACUAAUCCUCUUCAUUACUAUAAAAAGAGGAGCCAUUCCACGGGGUCCAAGAACUUCCAGGUACUUCUGAGUACUUAAAAGCUAAAAUGGAG